rnacentral:tRNA from 1 species
GCCCGGUUAGCUCAAUCGGUAGAGCGUGAGACUCUUAGUUCGAGUACGCGAUCUCAAGGUUGCGGGUUCGACCCCCGCAUCGGGCU